rnacentral:lncRNA from 1 species
UGAAAUGAGUUUCUAGAAAUGAGAAGCCACCUCCUUCCUUUGAACACCAGGCACCUCUGAGACGGAGUUUCACCAUGUUGGCCAGAAUGGUCUCCCUGGAUCUCUUGACCUCAUGAUCCGCCCUCCCCCGCCUCCCAAAGUGCUGGGAUUACAGGCAUGAACCAACGCGCAUGACCGCUAUGGAAUUUACUAUUAUGAAUGGCUUCUGAAUUGGAGUUCUUAUUCUUACUCCUACUUACAUUGUAUAAUAGAAUGUAAUUUAUUUUUUAAAAAACUUGUCUGUAAGCAAUAAAUAUCCUUUCAAUGUUUGACAUUUCCUUUUUAAAAAUAUCAUGUUUUCAUAAUGUAUAAUACUUUAAUACAUAAUGCUUAAUAUUUUCAUAAUGUACAAAAAGA